ACUCAAAUGAAUUGACGGGGGCCCGCACAAGCGGUGGAGCAUGUGGUUUAAUUCGACGCAACGCGAAGAACCUUACCCAGGCUCGAACGGCAGAUGCAUUACCAUGAAAAUGGGAAUCCCGCAAGGGUAUCUGUCGAGGUGCUGCAUGGCUGUCGUCAGCUCGUGUCGUGAGAUGUUGGGUUAAGUCCCGCAACGAGCGCAACCCUUGUCCGCUGUUGCCAUCAGGUUAUGCUGGGCACUCUGCGGAGACUGCCGGUGAUAAACCGGAGGAAGGUGGGGAUGACGUCAAGUCAGCAUGGCCUUUAUGUCUGGGGCUACACACGUGCUACAAUGGCCGGUACAAACCGUCGCGAGCCCGCAAGGGGGAGCUAAUCGGAGAAAGCCGGUCUCAGUUCGGAUUGCAGGCUGCAACUCGCCUGCAUGAAGUUGGAAUCGCUAGUAAUCGCGGAUCAGCACGCCGCGGUGAAUACGUUCCCGGGCCUUGUACACACCGCCCGU
rnacentral:rRNA from 1 species